CGGUUCGAGUCCGCUUACCUCCACUGAUCGACCUCCUGAUAACGAAAUGCCAGGAGAUUCAUUGAUGGUUGUGAUCUAGGAUUUGUUCUCUUGAUCAAGAACCUAGCUUCUUGUCAUCCAAUUCUCAAUUACUUUGUUUUGGUUGAUAUGACGCUGGGCUCGCUGCAAUUACAAUUGCAGAGAUCUUCAGUA
rnacentral:misc_RNA from 1 species